AUAUAUAUAUAUAUAUAUAUAUAUAUAUAUAUAUAUAUAUAUAUAUAUAUAUAUAUAUAUAUAUAUAUAUAUAUAAUGGUCAUAUAUGCAUGUACCUAUUUUGUAUUGAUUAGUGUGAAAUAGGUACCACAUGAUUCAAAGUAUCAAGUUACUUUUUUCUUACAAAUGUGCAUGUCAAAAUAUCUUUAAUGUAAUGCUUGGGAUUUAUAUUUAUGACGUUCUUUCUUAGGAUAGGAAAUAUGGUGUUAAUAUAUCUAGCAAAAUUUGUAUCACUUAAAUUGAGAUAUUGUAAAUUGAGAUAUUGUAAAUAUAAGGUGAAAAUUGUUUUCAUAUUAAAUAGGGGCAUGUACUGUAAUGUAUUGUAUAGUAUACACCUUAAGGAUAAUUAUGUUUUAAUGGUCAUAAUGUUUGCAAUAAGAUACACAUUAGACACGUUUUCUUGCAUUACAAGCUUUAUGAUCAUAUUACAUAGGUGUUAAUUUGGGAGAAAAUUUCUGCUGUAAAAAUGUUAUGUAUUGACAGUAUUGAUAAGUUAAAAAUUCAUCAAUAUUUCCUUAUUUUAAAACUUUUUCAGGGGGGUAAAGCCCCUUGUGGCUUCCUGAAGCUACUAUCACUGAUAAUGAGAGUACCAUCUAGUAGAUCACAUCAGCCACAGAGUUGUAUAGACCUACCAGGGACCAGCACCAGAACCUGAACCCCCCCCCCCCCCACCAUCCCCCUCAGAUGUGCAGGGAGUGGUGACAUAUAUGUAUAGUAUUUAUUUAUACCACCACUGGGGAAGGCACUCAGAAAGAUAGCAAGAUAAAACAAACUACUGCUGGCGUCUUGUGAGACUGCAGCCUCGAGAACCAUUGAAAAAAGUCCUCCCAACAACGUAAACAAUCGAUUAAAAUACUGUAUUUUGAAACUUCUGCAGUGCUUAUUUGCCCCCACCUUCCCCCACUCAUAUUGCAGGUAGGAAGGAGGCAACUCCUAAUCAGCCAGCUCCUUCACCCUCGGUUCUAUGCUGAUGUGUGUAGUGUGUGUGUAUCUGUUGUUGUUGUUGACUUCCCUUUUGUAGUACAUACUUUAGUGCUCUAACCUUCUUAAGAAAUGUGAUCUGACUAAAACUUUGCCUCUUUAUCUUAUUCUCAUAUCUUUUUCUUAUUCUUGCCUCUCCUCUUAUUCUUACCUUCCUUUUAUUUUUAUCUUCAUCCUGUUCUUACUUUUCAUCUUAUUCUUACCUUUUUAUCUUACCUGCUCCUCACCUCUCAUCUCACACUUACCCUAUUUAUUUGCCUGUCCUUCUAUCACAGGACUUGAUAAUAGUCCAGGAGGGUCCAAAACGUCGUUGUUUCUUCAUUUUCUGAUGUGUAAUUUUGUCAUCAUAUUGUGCGUCUGGUUGCCUCUCUGCUUGGACUCCAGUGUUUUGCUCGUACAGCUAAGUGGUGGUUUAUACCUUUGUGAGCAUUUUUGUACACUGUUCAGUGUUGCAAGAGUCUGGACAUCAUGAGGAGUUGGAGCUGUAUGUGUGCAGGAUUAUCUUACUUGUUUUUCCUUACUACUGCCCCUUGCACUUCCGUCAGGUGUUCAGGGGUCACUACCUUAGAGGUUCUCCUUGCUUGAGGUGGUACUCGCCCAGGGUGAGUCAGGUAUCUUGGGAUAUUUCUACUUUUUUUUUUUUUUUUGAGUCGGGAGUGACAUUGGGUGCACUGGGUAUUCACAUGCUACAGUAUAGCAAUGCUGUGGUAAGCCCUUGAAACCAUGUGAGCAGCUACUGUUGGCUUACUAUCAUUUCUAUUUUCAUAUUCAAUGUAGUUUCAUACAACUCCUUUCAUUGUAGGCCCAGCAUCACAUCCCCACAUGCUUGGGUGUCCUGCUUGAUCAAUUCCUUUGAGCCCCUGGAAAUCCUCUGCAGGUUAGAUGGUCCUUUAGAUAUUUCCACCAAACCUUCUCUCACCUUGUGCAAGCUUCAGGAUUACUUAUCAUCCAUGCUAUGUUACGGUGUUCAGUCCAUCUGCCUCUGCUGUGCUGCCUGCUAGGUCGGUGGCACCUUUGGCCUGAGUCCUGUUGGGACUUCUUCUCCCAAUAUGACUCUUCCUUGUGGCCCACCUGCUGGGGCUUCUUAGGCAGCGAUCACUCUUGUGUCUUGAGUUUUCUAAGUUAUAGCAGUCUGAGUUGUGUCCUAUUGGUUCCCCCAGAGCUGCCUCAUUGGUGGUUAGGAACCUGGGUUUCAGAGUGUUUGGUAGCUUCUAUGUUGGUUCCAUCUGUACCUCUUCUUCUUCCCUCAUAGAUGGGGGGUUCACCCCUCUUGUAUUUUGCCCCCCCCUGUUUCUGUCUCGGGGGGGCAUCUGAGUGUUUCCUGUUAGGGGGACUGGAUUGAGCUCAGGAUGUGGCUCGGGCAGCUCAGGGUGUUGCCUCAUUUAAUUUGAGUGUGGAGGAAGUUGAAUCUGCUUGUCCCACCGGGGCUUCUAGGCUUUAUUUUCAGUCAACCCCUCCUCUGGAAGACUUUGCUUGGAUUUCACUUUUCUGUACCAGGCAGUGGGCACGGACGCAGGCUCCAUCCUGGCACCCUUGUCUGUGGCUUCCGGGGAUUGGGGGUAUUGGAUGUGGGCUGGGUCCUGUUCAACUCGACAAGAGUCCUUAUUGCAGGGAGUGGGUGUGGGUAUUCAUAACCACCUUCCUUGUGUGCUUUUGGUUUGUGUGUGGGGCCCUCCUGUAGUUCAAUUCUUCAUCCUUUUAGGCUUGUUAAGAUCAUCCUUCUGGAGGUUCCUGCCUCUCAGGUUCCUGUUCCAAUGGCUCAUGUGGUGCUUUUUCUGUUUCACCUCCAUGACUCAGUUUCCGCCUCAUUUUUGGACUCUUGCUUCUUUUGCAUUUGGGUCUUUUCUCACUAAUAAUGGAAGUUCAAGGUGUCUGGCCUUUUCGCUUUUCCCCGUAUGUCAGGGCAUCAAAUGGGCAGCUCACCCAGUUUGCUGCCUCCUGGUCCCACAUUUUUUUUUUAUUUUAUUCAUUUCCCAUGUCUUGCAGUGCGGUUCAUUGCUCCCUUCCUCUUCUUAGGGUUCAGAUUGCUCCUGGUGGGCCUCCUUUCCUCGCCUCCGUCGGGUCAUCUCGGAUUAGGUAUCAUCUGGCGUGGUCGACUCUGCUUUCUCCCCGGUCAAAAACCAGGCCUUCCUGGGCUUUUUGGUUCUUCUUCAACCUCUUGUAUCUGGAUUGGUGCAUUCUUUGUUCCUUGUUCCAGUUCUCUCAGUGUUGACGGUGCUGCUACAGCUGGCAUUCAGGGUUGAUACCCUGAAUGUUGAUACUUCUCCGUUUCGUGAGCUAUUUCAUGUUUUUUUCACCUCCAGCCUUCUUGGGUUCUGGCUGAUGGUCUUUCAUUUCUGCCUUCUUUCAAUUUGUCUCCCUCCUCCCCACAAAUAAGUGGACCAAAUGAGCAUUGCACUAGUUUCAAGAGAUUUUGAUAGUUUGUUUACAUUGUUUGAGAAGUUCUUUUGUAGGUUCUAGAGGCUACAGUCUCAUUUUAAGCCAGCAGUGGUUUACUUUGUCCUUCUUAUUUUCUGGGUGCCUUUCCCCAGCCCAUCCUCCUAAUGUUUCCGUGUCAAGAAACUGGCGUACUAAAGUCCCCUCUCCUAACCUACCAGAGGACCAAAAAUAAAAAAAAUUUAUGAACAAUUCCAAGCAUCAGAGCUAAGUGAGGAAACAUCCCAGUAUAUCUAUGACAUGUAUAAUAAUACUUAAUAAUUCAUUGUGUCGGGGGACAGGCAGCCAAUGUGUGUUUAUACAUGUUAGGCUUAUGACAAGGCCCUCCCCCCCCCCCCAAGGUUGAUUUACAGACCCCUGCAGGUUGUAACCAAACAACAAGCUAGCUAACAAAUUCCUGGGUACCUACUUGCUGCUAGAUGAAUAGGUGCAUUAGGUGAUGGGAAAUGUGCCCAACCAUUUUUGUCCCUCCCAGGAUUCGAACCCAGAAUUCUUGAUUGUGAGUCGAGAACAACCUCAAGCCGACUGCACUACCAGGAUCCAUAAUACAUCCAUAAUUCGGCAUGUUACUGGAAUUUCAUUUACCUGUGAUAACAAGGAAGAGGCUGUCAUUGGUAUGAGUUUGGAAGAUGAGGUUACCAAAACUCAAAACCUGAUGUGUGUGUGUGUAUAAUUUUAUAAUAUGGCUAUAAUAUGGCUUUCUCCUAUUUGGAAAUACUGUAAUAGAUACAGAAAGGAUUCAGGCCCUCAUAAAAGAAUAUGUUAGUCAAGUAACAACAAAAAUUGGGAAAGAACAAAAAUUAAAUGAAAAUUAAUGAAUUGUAAAUUUAGAUGAUUAGGGCAGUUCAAAUAUGAAUGUUUAAAAAUGUAAAAGUAAUACAGAAAGCUUCUUAUGUAGCCUGUAUCUAAUACUCUAUAUGAGAAACUGCCCUGUUGGAUAAUGGAACGUCCAGUAUACCAUGAACUGCCCUAUUGGAUAAUGGAAUAUUCAGUAUACCCAGGGCUGGACUGCUGGAUAAUGGAAUAUUUAAUAUACCAGGGGCUGCCAUGUUGGAUAAUAAAAUAUUUGGUAUACCAGGGGCUGCCCUGCUGGUUACCAAAAUAUUCAGUAUACCUGGAGCUGUCCUGAUGGAAAAGGACCUAUUUUAGUAUACCCAGGCCGCCUUCCUGGAUAAUGGAAUAUUCAGUAUACCAGGGCAAAAAGGUAUAACAAAGGGGAAUAUAAACUAGAUUUUACGUACAGUAUAUCAUCACAAAUUAUCACUCAAGAUAUUUUAUAUGAAUAGGAGAAGUUUAGAUACAGGAAAAUCUAGGUAAUUACUAGUUUGAAAACAGGGUUGUUGAUUUAUGAAACAAAUUGCUAUGUAGCGUAAUUGUUGGUUAGGCGUGCAUGAAUGAGUUUAAGCAGCUUUAAAUUGGUGCUGCCUUAUAUGUGUGAAUUAUUUAUUAUCAAAAUAGCACUAAUGGUAGUUAACUGGUAUUUAAAAAAUAAUUGAAUGCAGUACUUGCCAAAACAUUUAGCAAGUACAGUAUGGUAGUUCUUGUCUUUAAGAAAGUGAUUAUGACAGGUUGAAGAAAAGCAUUGAUGGGCGACCAAAUUGGCAAAUAUUUUACUCUAGUGAAUAAUAUAGUAUAUACAGUACACAUUAAUGCCUAUACAGUAUAUACCAAAAAUGUCAACAGUGAUUGCUAUAUGUUGCUUGUUUGCACUCUACAUUCUUUCAAAAUUCAUGUAGGUAAGUAUCACACAUUAAGUACUUGUAACAUUUGGCAACAAAUUAUAAAUGUUGCAUGUACGAAGCAUCAUUUGAUUGCCUUAUAUUAAGAAAUAAAAUGUAACAAUUUAUUUUACUGUUUAAGGUUUAUACUGCCAUUGUUUAGUUUCUUGGAUGAAAGAAUAUUUAAUUUGAAACUGGUGUAUUUAAAGCACAGUACUUUUUUCAUUUGUAGUUAAACUCGUCUAGCCUGCUGCCUAUAAUGACCAAUUUUACUGGGUUUGAUUAAAUUCCCUAAAUGAACAUUGCAUUGUAUAUGCAUGUAUAAAUAUCAUGUGUGUGUACUGUGAAAAUAGGUCACAAGGUGUCUAUUCCAGGGAAACAGGAUUUUUUCCUCUGAUAUUUAUUAAGAUUACAAUAUUUCAUCGUAGAUUGACUGAGAAUUACCUCAAUCUCAAAAUUUUUGUUUUGUUAAGACAAGUUUCUGCAGCAGUCUUUCAUAGUUUAGAUUGUAUGACUAUUCAAUAAAAUGUAAUUUAUAAAGCCUGAUAAAUCCUUGUCAGCAUCAAUAAAUCUAAUUCAAAUUAAGACUCAAGGAAAUGUUUUCUUGAUGGUCAUGAGACUAGAACAAUAUUUUUCACUUGAAAGUUUACUAAACCUUCAAACCGAAACCUUACUGAAUUAUAAAAUGUGUUAAUAUUUCCUUGUGUGUGAUAUGUUGCUUGUGGGGAUAUUGUAGAAUACUCGUGGGAAGGUUACCUCAUUGUCAUUUUAUCUACAAUUGAUAGAGGUUAUCUUAUGUAUUUGGAUUACAAUGGGAACUCUUGUAUGCAUAUUUCAGUAAUGUCAUCUCUGUAAAUAAAUCUCCAGCAGUGUAACAUCAAUAUGUUAACACAUUGAUCUUUUUUAAAUUAUAGCCUGUAUGUUUUUGUUUUAUCAGAAGAUAAAACAUAUUGGAAGCAUAUUAAAGCUCUUCAGUCAA